rnacentral:tRNA from 1 species
GGUGGCUCAGUGGCAGAGUGCUUGCCUUGCAUGCAUGAAGCCCUGGGUUCAAUUCCUCAGCACCA